AUGCACGCUGGCUACAGGCUUAACCCAUGCAAGUCGAGGGGAAACGACGGGGAAGCUUGCUUCCCCGGGCGUCGACCGGCGCACGGGUGAGUAACGCGUAUCCAACCUGCCUCUGACUGAGGGAUAACCCGUCGAAAGUCGGCCUAAUACCUCAUGGUAUCGUCUGCGGGCAUCCAACGACGAUUAAAGAUUUCAUCGGUCAGGGAUGGGGAUGCGUCUGAUUAGCUUGUUGGCGGGGUAACGGCCCACCAAGGCUACGAUCAGUAGGGGUUCUGAGAGGAAGGUCCCCCACAUUGGAACUGAGACACGGUCCAAACUCCUACGGGAGGCAGCAGUGAGGAAUAUUGGUCAAUGGGCGAGAGCCUGAACCAGCCAAGUAGCGUGCAGGAAGACGGCCCUAUGGGUUGUAAACUGCUUUUAUGCGGGGAUAAAGUGAGGGACGUGUCCCUCAUUGCAGGUACCGCAUGAAUAAGGACCGGCUAAUUCCGUG
rnacentral:rRNA from 1 species